rfam:Tupaia chinensis contig31340, whole genome shotgun sequence.
AUGCUUGCUUCGGCAGCACAUAUACUAAAAAAUUGGAAUGAUACUGAGAAAAUUACCAUGGCCCCUGUGCAAGGAUGACACACAAAUUUGUGCGCCUAACAGAGGAGUA